UUGAGAGACAGUACUCUCCCUUGACAUUAGACAGGUCAAGGUGACAAGAUAGAGUUUCGUAAUGAGAACAUCGAUAAUUAAAAGUUAUUUCUACCAUUCUGUGCACUAAGUUAUUUGAUUGUUAGAAGAAAUAAAUAGAUUAAAAAAAAAUUGAUUUGAGGAAGGUGCGUUGUAGAUCACGUGACGUUUCCUGUCCAAUGGUGGUGUUUGUUACAUCAACCAUCACUUUGGCGGAUAAUACAAAGUCUUCUGCUGUUUUGGAUCGAGUUGACGAUUGAGUGGACGGACGGAGGAAGAGAGGAGUCAUUUACAUAGAAUAGCAUUGUACUUGUUACAACAGAUGGUCAGAAACUGCGAGUGUUCCUGGGACAGUCUUGGUGGUCCUGGGAAUGAAGCACACUGGGAUCCCUGCCGCAAUGCUAGCCACUCCUAGAAUCAGGAACCCAAGCCACCAGGCACCAAUCCACCGCGGGUCAUCUGUCGUAAUUUG